rnacentral:rRNA from 1 species
GAUGAACGCUAGCCACAGGCUUAACACAUGCAAGUCGAGGGGCAGCAUAAAUCUAGCAAUAGAUUUGAUGGCGACCGGCGCACGGGUGAGUAACACGUAUCCAACCUACCUAUUACUCGGGCAUAGCCUUUCGAAAGAAAGAUUAAUCCCCGAUACGAUAUUGAGUUCGCAUGAAUUUGAUAUGAAAGAUUUAUUGGUAUUAGAUGGGGAUGCGUUCCAUUAGAUUGUUGGUGAGGUAACGGCUCACCAAGUCUUCGAUGGAUAGGGGUUCUGAGAGGAAGGUCCCCCACACUGGAACUGAGACACGGUCCAGACUCCUACGGGAGGCAGCAGUGAGGAAUAUUGGUCAAUGGGCGAGAGCCUGAACCAGCCAAGUAGCGUGAGGGAUGACUGCCCUAUGGGUUGUAAACCUCUUUUAUAAGGGAAUAAAACGCUCCACGAGUGGAGCUUUGCAUGUACCUUUUGAAUAAGGAUCGGCUAACUCCGUGCCAGCCGCCGCCGUAA